AGAAGGGUUAAGAACAGCCUGGACUUGGGUCCCACAUCAGGUUGGUGUUGAGAAGUUUUCAGUUAUUAUUCAGCUACCUACAUCGCUGGGAGGGGUAGGAGGUCCCUCUAAGCUGAGAUGCACAGUUGAAGAAUGUAGGCAGGACAGCUGCAGGUGUCAGGGCAGCUACAGAUGGAGUACAAACUGCCCCAGAGGGAGGAGGGAAACCACAGGUGGGGGUGCCCCAACUCAGUGCACUGCUGCCACACCCACCGUCCCCCAGUUCUUGCUAAGCAGCAGCAUCCAUGAGUGGAGUGGUUGAUUUGCCUGAGCCAGUGGGGAGGCCCCUGGGCCAGGGAGAACCCACAGGGUGUGGAGGAGUGGCAUGAGGGCCCCACCUCUCAGGUGACUGGAGAGCAGCCUCAGAGCCCCAGCUGUCAUCCUGUGGUCACAGCAUUAGCUGGGAGAGCUCCUUUCCAUGGGGACCUGCAUGAACCCCAGACUCUUCUGUGUGACGCUUUGUCUCCUGGGAACAGGCCUCGUGGACGCUGUGAUCACCCAGAGGCCCCGACACCUUAUCCUACACACGGGAAAAAAGACAACCCUGGAGUGUUCUCAGAACCUGAACCAUUAUGCAAUGUUCUGGUACCGACAAGACCCAGGACAGGGGCUGAAGCUGCUGCACUACUCAGACAGUGUUGGCAGCACAGCUGAAGGAGAAGCCUCCCAAGGGUCCAGUGUCUCCAGGGAUCAGAAGGAGCAUUUCCCCCUGACCCUGGAGUCCCCCAGCACCAGCCAGUCCUCCCUGUACCUCUGUGCCAGUAGCGAAGCCACAGCAGGGCACAGCCAGCUGCUCUCUGCACAAGAAGUGCAGCCACAGGGUUCAGGUGGACUCUCCUUCCAGAGCCCCUGCCUCAUCCAGCAGAAAACAUUGUCCUGAAGCCCCUCCAAGACUGCCAGCCUCCACCCCAUGGACCUCGUGCAGCAUGGAUA